GUCUAUGUGACGUAAUUGGUUUGCGCGUUCGGCUGUUAACCGAAAGGAUGGGGGUUCAAGCCCACCCGUGGACG
rnacentral:tRNA from 1 species